UACGGAGGAUCCAAGCGUUAUCCGGAUUUAUUGGGUUUAAAGGGUGCGUAGGCGGCCUAUUAAGUCAGGGGUGAAAGACGGUAGCUUAACUAUCGCAGUGCCUUUGAUACUGAUGGGCUUGAAUGGACUAGAGGUAGGCGGAAUGUGACAAGUAGCGGUGAAAUGCAUAGAUAUGUCACAGAACACCAAUUGCGAAGGCAGCUUACUAUGGUUUUAUUGACACUGAGGCACGAAAGCGUGGGGAUCAAACAGG
rnacentral:rRNA from 1 species